rnacentral:lncRNA from 1 species
GAUACCUUCUGGAGCAGGACCUCCAUUGGCAGUAUUGAAUUUAAUCCCAAAAUCUCCAUUGGGCCCACCAGGGUUGUGGCUGGCCGUCAGAAUGAUGCCGCCGAUGGCUUUGAUUUUCCUGAUGAUGCAGGACACUGCUGGGGUGGAGAGAAUGCCGUUCUGCCCGAUGACCAAGCGGCCAAUCCCGUUGGCGGCGGCGAUGCGGACGAUGAUCUGGAUGGCGUCCUUCAUGUAGAAGCGGCCGUCGCCCCCCACCACCAGCGUGGCCUCUUGCCGCUCGGCCGGCGGCACGGUGGCCAGGAUGCUCUGGAUGAAGUUCUCGGCGUAGUGGGCAUUGUUUUGGAAAACGGUGACUCGUUUGCGCAGCCCGCUGGUGCCGGGUUUCUGGUCGGCGUACGCCUUGGUUUUCACCGUCUCGAUGUGCACCAUGGCCGGCCCGGGCUGC